rnacentral:rRNA from 1 species
AGUCUGUGGUAUCUGGACGUGAAACGGGAUGAUCUAGGCAUGGGCAGGAUGAAGCGUGGGUAACACCACGUGGAGGUCCGAACCAGUUAAGGUUGAAAACUUUUUGGAUGACCUGUGCCUGGGGGUGAAAGGCUAAUCAAAUUCCGUGAUAGCUCGUUCUCGCCGAAAUAUCUUUAGGGAUAGCCUCGGAUUUAUCAUUGUGGUGGUAAAGCACUGACUGGACUAGGGGCCUCACAAGGUUACCGAAUUCAAUCAAACUCUGAAUGCCAUAAAUGACUGUCCGGGAGUCAGACUGCGGGUGCUAAGAUUCGUAGUCGAGAGGGAAAGAACCCAGACCAACAGCUAAGGUCCCGAAGUAAUAGUUAAGUGGAAAAGGAAGUGGGGAAGCACUGACAGCCAGGA